rnacentral:snoRNA from 1 species
UUGCACUAUAGAUGCAAGAAAAAAGACGUCCUCGGGCUUUCUGUCUGGUUGUGGCAGCCAAGAUUGAAUGGGGGAAUACAGGA